rfam:Schistosoma mansoni strain Puerto Rico chromosome W, complete genome
AUCCAGAUGACGAGUCCCAAAGAGGACGAAACGCGCGUCCUGGAU